UACGUAGGGGGCGAGCGUUGUCCGGAUUUAUUGGGCGUAAAGAGCGUGUAGGCGGCCAGGUAGGUCAGCUGUGAAAACUCGAGGCUCAACCUCGAGAUGUCGGCUGAAACCAUCUGGCUAGAGUCCGGAAGAGGAGAAUGGAAUUCCCGGUGUAGCGGUGAAAUGCGCAGAUAUCGGGAAGAACACCCGUGGCGAAGGCGGUUCUCUGGGACGGUACUGACGCUGAGACGCGAAAGCGUGGGGAGCGAACAG
rnacentral:rRNA from 1 species